ACAGCACCAACAAGACCAGUGUAACAAAAAAUCAUUUAGCAGAAUGUUCAGGCUGCUCUUUCCAUAUAAUAAAAAUUUAUGGUAACCAGAGGCUGCCAAGCUCCAGAAAUAAAAGUAUUUAGUGUGAGUUGUGCUUUAUAUUGCAGUGCAAUUGCCUAAUGUGAGAAAAAUGCCAAAAUUAGGUUAUGCAAUUUAAGGUGACAAAGCAAAUGCACUUUAGGCAAAUCCAGAGACUGGUGUGUUUGGUCUUCUGAUACAGAAUAUGAUACUAUAGACCAGGUGACAUUUGAGGCUUUUUUUCUUCUCCAGAGGGAACUAUAAUUUAUAUAUGCAAGCGCUCUGUCACACAAUCCCAAAUUGAGUGGUUGGGUUUGAAAUAUGUCUGAAGAGUGAAGCAAGAGGUGGAGGCGGCACGUCAGAGCCUGCUGAGAAAGACCUGCUACCUGACAGAUGAGCUGCCCCAGCAGAAUUCAGAGCUGGGCUUCAGCACCUAUGAACAGCUGCCCCCCAUUCGUGCCCGCAGGUUGGAAAGCAUUGUGGGAACAGAAGUAAAGGGCGGAGAAAGGUGAAAAAGGAAAAAUCCUGUCCCACAGUUUUGUAUGUGAUUUGUAAACUUCCAUCCUCAUAUCUGUGGUUUUUGGCCUUUUAGGAAAAAGUGGCAACCAUAGACUUUAAAAUAAAUAUUUAGUUUCUUGUGGAUGUGGUGUGGUUACUUGUGUCCAUUCAGCUUUUUUUUUUCUUUCUUUCUUUUCUUUUUUUUAUAUCCCUAUCUGGAUGGUAGUUAUCUGAUAUAGGGACUUCAGAUAAUUCCAAUUUAGGGUUAGUUUAUGGGGUUAGUCAGUUAUUUUAUUUCUGAAAUGUUAAGGUUUUCUUUCCCUCUAUCCACAAAAUCCCCAGCCAAAUUAUACUGCUUUUGGACAAACACCAGGGUCG
ensembl:lncRNA